ACGCACGCUGGCGGCGUGCUUAACACAUGCAAGUCGAACGGUGAUGCUCCAGCUUGCUGGAGUGGAUCAGUGGCGAACGGGUGAGUAACACGUGAGCAACCUGCCCCAGACUCUGGAAUAAGCGCUGGAAACGGCGUCUAAUACUGGAUACGAAACUGGCCCGCAUGGGCAUGGUUUGGAAAGUUUUUCGGCUUGGGAUGGGCUCGCGGCCUAUCAGCUUGUUGGUGAGGUAAUGGCUCACCAAGGCGACGACGGGUAGCCGGCCUGAGAGGGCGACCGGCCACACUGGGACUGAGACACGGCCCAGACUCCUACGGGAGGCAGCAGUGGGGAAUAUUGCACAAUGGGCGAAAGCCUGAUGCAGCGACGCCGCGUGAGGGAUGACGGCCUUCGGGUUGUAAACCUCUUUCAGCAGGGAAGAAGCGAAAGUGACGGUACCUGCAGAAGAAGCACCGGCUAACUACGU
rnacentral:rRNA from 1 species